AACCGGAUUAGAUACCCUGGUAGUCCACGCCGUAAACGAUGUCGACUUGGAGGUUGUGCCCUUGAGGCGUGGCUUCCGGAGCUAACGCGUUAAGUCGACCGCCUGGGGAGUACGGCCGCAAGGUUAAAACUCAAAUGAAUUGACGGGGGCCCGCACAAGCGGUGGAGCAUGUGGUUUAAUUCGAUGCAACGCGAAGAACCUUACCUGGUCUUGACAUCCACGGAAGUUUUCAGAGAUGAGAAUGUGCCUUCGGGAACCGUGAGACAGGUGCUGCAUGGCUGUCGUCAGCUCGUGUUGUGAAAUGUUGGGUUAAGUCCCGCAACGAGCGCAACCCUUAUCCUUUGUUGCCAGCGGUCCGGCCGGGAACUCAAAGGAGACUGCCAGUGAUAAACUGGAGGAAGGUGGGGAUGACGUCAAGUCAUCAUGGCCCUUACGACCAGGGCUACACACGUGCUACAAUGGCGCAUACAAAGAGAAGCGACCUCGCGAGAGCAAGCGGACCUCAUAAAGUGCGUCGUAGUCCGGAUUGGAGUCUGCAACUCGACUCCAUGAAGUCGGAAUCGCUAGUAAUCGUGGAUCAGAAUGCCACGGUGAAUACGUUCCCGGGCCUUGUACACACCGCCCGUCACACCAUGGGAGUGGGUUGCAAAAGAAGUAGGUAGCUUAACCUUCGGGAGGGCGCUUACCACUUUGUGAUUCAUGACUGGGGUGAAGUCGUAACAAGGUAGCC
rnacentral:rRNA from 1 species